rnacentral:ribozyme from 16 species
GAGAGAGAAAGAGAAAUAGUAUCCUUUAAUGUUUCAAACAGGUCGAUUUUUGUUUACUUUUUGUUUUUGUUGGUCUUUUUUUGUCAACCUGAAAUCGACAUGAAAACGGGA